rnacentral:rRNA from 1 species
UGGGGAAUAUUGCACAAUGGAGGGAACUCUGAUGCAGCGACGCCGCGUGAACGAAGAAGGCUUUCGAGUCGUAAAGUUCUUUUAUAUGGGAAGAUAAUGACGGUACCAUAAGAAAAAGCCCCGGCUAACUACGUGCCAGCAGCCGCGGUAAUACGUAGGGGGCUAGCGUUGUCCGGAAUCACUGGGCGUAAAGGGUUCGCAGGCGGAAAUGCAAGUCAGGUGUAAAAGGCAGUAGCUUAACUACUGUAAGCAUUUGAAACUGCAUAUCUUGAGAAGAGUAGAGGUAAGUAGAAUUUUUAGUGUAGCGGUAAAAUGCGUAGAUAUUAAAAAGAAUACCGGUGGCGAAGGCGACUUACUGGGCUCAUUCUGACGCUGAGGAACGAAAGCGUGGGUAGCAAACAGG